GACGAACGCUGGCGGCGCGCCUAACACAUGCAAGUCGAACGAGAGAGAAGGAGCUUGCUUCUUCGAUCGAGUGGCGAACGGGUGAGUAACGCGUGAGGAACCUGCCUCAAAGAGGGGGACAACAGUUGGAAACGACUGCUAAUACCGCAUAAGCCCACGGGUCGGCAUCGACCUGAGGGAAAAGGAGCAAUCCGCUUUGAGAUGGCCUCGCGUCCGAUUAGCUAGUUGGUGAGGUAACGGCCCACCAAGGCGACGAUCGGUAGCCGGACUGAGAGGUUGAACGGCCACAUUGGGACUGAGACACGGCCCAGACUCCUACGGGAGGCAGCAGUGGGGAAUAUUGCACAAUGGGGGAAACCCUGAUGCAGCGACGCCGCGUGGAGGAAGAAGGUCUUCGGAUUGUAAACUCCUGUUGUUGAGGAAGAUAAUGACGGUACUCAACAAGGAAGUGACGGC
rnacentral:rRNA from 1 species